rnacentral:sRNA from 1 species
GCUGGGUGUGGUGGUGCUGUCCUGUAAUCCCAGCCACUCUGGUGGCAGAGGUAGGAGGAUUGCAAGUUUUAGGCCAGAUGCAGCAACUUAGUAAGAUCCUGUCUCAA